UGUUUGAUUUCAAAGUCAAAUGACGGAAUAUUGUGCAACCCGAACUGAUGAUAAUCCUCAUCAUGCUGAGACUGAAGAUAAGCCACAUCAAGCUGGGAGACCAGGCUCAUAUUGUGAUUUUGUCUCCAACAUUAAAUUUUUGCGGACAGUUAUCAUUGUUCUAUCUGUAUUGCUGAUUGUUUUAUUGAUAGUAAUAGGUGUUAUCACAAGCAAGAAUGAUACAUACAUUACGAAACCAAAUGACAAUAAUUUUCAACAAAACCCUGACUUCGAAAGGAUCAUUCCACCGAAUAAUGAUCCUUUUUGCCAGUUUCCCUUUCCUCGCACAAACGUGAGCUUCAUGAAAUGUUUUCUUCCCUACAAGGGAGAAUAUAUUGUAAACUGCGUUUUUGAUUUACCUGCACAAGUUACAAGAAUUUGUGCUAUGAAUGAUACUACUCACCAUUAUAAACUUGACUGUGCUUCGAAUUCAUCAUUUGGAUAUUAUUGCAAGCAAGUUUGCUCAGAAAACUGCGCCUUCGAUUGUAAAGAUGAUUGUACCCAAUUUUCAAUAACGGUACCUAAAUCUGGUAUUCUUCUACUUGAGAUUGGUAAUAACUGUUUACAAAAUGAUGGAUAUAUUGAAAUAUGGAAUGCAACGUUUCACAGAAGGGUUAAACGGGAAAGGCAAAGUCAGAAUCAAAGGAACAGGGAAUAAAAAGACGUAACAAGAAAAUAAAGACACAAUUGUUUUCGUUUUGUAAUAUAUGAACCAGUAAAUAACAGUGUUAGAUACAAAAACAGUUAUGUUGCAAACAAACCUAUGAACAAUGCGACGAAAAAUAAAAGAAAUCAAAUUAAAAGUAUACAAUGCAAACAGAGAUAACACAUAGCGAAACUUUCAGCAAGACAUACUCUCUCAAAAAGACCUAAAGGGAAAUUAAGAGAUCUAGAAGGCACAGCAUUCCAAACAUGUAGUCAGAACUCAUCUAAGAUACCAGCAUUAUAAUUUAGUUUGCCACACGCGCGUUUCAAACCGAUAAUGUAUAUCUUUCAGCUAAAA